rnacentral:rRNA from 1 species
ACUCCUACGGGAGGCAGCAGUGGGAAUAUUGCACAAUGGGAAGGCCAUCGAUGCAGCCAUGCCGCGCUGUGUGAAGAAGGCCAAUUCGGGGCUUUGGUUAAAGACACUUUUCAGUAGGGAGGAAGGUAGUGUAGUUAACACCUGCACUAUUUGACGUUACCUACAGAAGAAGCACCGGCUAACUCCGUGCCAGCAGCCGCGGUAAUACGGAGGGUGC